UACGAAGGGGGCUAGCGUUGCUCGGAAUCACUGGGCGUAAAGGGUGCGUAGGCGGGUCUUUAAGUCAGGGGUGAAAUCCUGGAGCUCAACUCCAGAACUGCCUUUGAUACUGAGGAUCUUGAGUUCGGGAGAGGUGAGUGGAACUGCGAGUGUAGAGGUGAAAUUCGUAGAUAUUCGCAAGAACACCAGUGGCGAAGGCGGCUCACUGGCCCGAUACUGACGUUGAGGCACGAAAGCGUGGGGAGCAAACAGG
rnacentral:rRNA from 1 species